UAAACGUGAUGACUUCAACUUUUCUAUCCUUUCUUCCGUACGUACACUGCAUGCAGCAAUAUACCUUCAUCACCUGUAUACGGGGAUUAUAUAUAUCUCAAAUAUACGCAAGAGCAAGCUUUACGUAAUAAUGUACAAUUUCGAAAUCGAGGCAAAUUAUUGACAAACAAUUUGAAGAAAAACGAAUAUCAACAGUCUCGUUUUAAGGCAUCAUUUCUUAAGUUCUAUUGUUGAUACAAUGACCUUGUCAGCAAAUAUAAUUUAUUAUUGAGUCAAAUACUGACGGACGUUUUUCAUACUAAUUGUUGGUCCAAUAUUUACAAACUGAAAUGACGAUGAAUUUUCCGUUAUUUCUCGGUCAUGACAGAGCACACGGCAGGUGUGACCGGUUAGCAGAAGAUGCUCACGCCUCCAUGGCACGUGAUCCCACCUCUGCUGUUUCGGAGUUCCUUGAUUGAUCAGCUAUUAUUUUGUAUUGUUUUGUGGACUUCUGAGUUUGAAUACUGUUCGUUAUCAUCUCCAUAUAUUUCUUUUAUAAAUAUAACACAAUACAAAGAAGAAGGUACGGAUUUAGCUUUAUUGUGCCCUAAAAAUUUGAUGUUUUCAAAAAAGGUUUGAAACUGGCUUAAAUGUUAGUUGAGUUUAUGAUUGUGAAAGAUCAGGAAAGAAUAUGACAUUAAAGAGUACCAUUCUGGAAGUAUGACGUUAAUUUGAUGCAUUUCUCUAUUUUUAACAGAAAAAGCCUCAAAAUGACGCAUUUCGAGGAUACAUUUCCUUCAGAAAACAGUGUCCACAGUCGUCGCCCACUAUAAUUAUUUGAUAUGUUGUGUAAAAUUCAAUUCUAAUACUGUUAGCGAUAAAAUAUGCAAACAACGAGUGAUAUAUUUUAGUCUAUUACACAUCAAAUAUUGAUAAAAAACAAAAACAAAAAAGAUCGAUGUAGCGAUUAAAUUUUCACUUAAUUCAUUUUCUUGAAUUUUCCGGAAAAAGAUAAAAUUCUGCAACUUCCACAUAUUGCUUGAAGUGCUUAUUACUAGUAUUAAGUUAUUGCAUAGCCUAGCAACAAUGAGUUGUCGUGAACUGUUUUUUUAAAAAUAAAAAUGAACAUUUACCACUUUUUUGAAAUGAUGGAUAGAUAAUAAAUGCUUUAUACUUCUUAAUGAAUUAGAAAUUACCAUUUAGGAACUAGGAACUUCAUAUAUAUAUAUAGCUACAUCUAUAAACCGUUUCCCUAUUUGCGACUUAUUUUCCCUCUGUUUAUUUCUUUAUAGACAAAUGUAAUAGAGAUGGCAUAUUGAACUCUGUUUGAUCGGGUCUUGUAUUUGUGUAACUUCACCUAUGCUUUAUCAAACGUCUCAUUUAGAAUAAGGCAAAUUCUCCAAGGGACGGUACUGGUUCACAAUCGAUACUCUAAUUUGGCAUAAAUUGAUUCUCACAGCAAAAAGAGACAGUGAUGGUGUCAAUUUUUUAAAUCAACAUGUAAAAAUAACUGAACAAGGACCAACAUUUUAACAGUAUCGAGUUAAAUAAUUAAAUAAAAAUUCAACAUUUUAUCAUUAACUGUUGUACAUGUCAAGUUAAAUAUUGAAUUAAAAAAUCAAUUAAUGUU